rnacentral:rRNA from 1 species
GUGGGGAAUAUUGGACAAUGGGCGAAAGCCUGAUCCAGCCAUGCCGCGUGAGUGAUGAAGGCCUUAGGGUUGUAAAGCUCUUUCAGUGGGGACGAUAAUGACGGUACCCACAGAAGAAGCCCCGGCUAACUUCGUGCCAGCAGCCGCGGUAAUACGAAGGGGGCUAGCGUUGUUCGGAUUUACUGGGCGUAAAGCGCACGUAGGCGGAUCGUUAAGUCAGGGGUGAAAUCCUGGAGCUCAACUCCAGAACUGCCUUUGAUACUGGCGAUCUAGAGUCCGGAAGAGGUGAGUGGAACUCCUAGUGUAGAGGUGGAAUUCGUAGAUAUUAGGAAGAACACCAGUGGCGAAGGCGGCUCACUGGUCCGGUACUGACGCUGAGGUGCGAAAGCGUGGGGAGCAAACAGGAUUAGAUACCCCAGUAGUCC